rnacentral:lncRNA from 1 species
AAUUAUCUCUCAUCUUUUGAGCAGGAGCAUGUAAGCCGCCAUGCAUGCAACUGUGCACGUCUAGGACUGCUGCCCCAAGCUGAAGGCUUCCUCUCCCUCAUCGUGCAUAGCAACCUGCAAUUUGCCAUGGCCAUGAUCGUACAGGAGUUCAAGGGUUAGGACAAAGUAUUUACAGAAUAGCCUCUGGUUCGUAAAAUCUUCAUCGUUUCUUUGUUUCAACUCCGAUUUUCAUGAUCUUUACGUCUAUGAAAUCGUAGUGAUGCGUAGAAUCCUUUUAUAAACUUUUCAUACUGUUUUUAUAUGAUUGGUGUACUGUUCUAAUUGUAGCCUUGUUUGCUUCGUGUAUGUUUGUCUCCGAUUGUUUAUGUGUUGGUGAUCGAUGAUUGAGUUUAGUCAGUGAGCAAUUCGUGGUGAACAAGAGUACUUCAGUGAUCAAGAUCAGAGCCUUGGACAACUAGUAAGAUCAGCAAGAUCAGCAAGAGCAAUUGGAUUAAGGCAAGUAUAGCAUUUGGAUUUUAUUUCUG